rnacentral:rRNA from 1 species
CUAGUUGGUGUGGUAAUGGCGCACCAAGGCGACGAUCGGUAGCUGGUCUGAGAGGAUGAUCAGCCACAUUGGGACUGAGACACGGCCCAAACUCCUACGGGAGGCAGCAGUGGGGAAUAUUGGACAAUGGGCGAAAGCCUGAUCCAGCCAUGCCGCGUGAGUGAUGAAGGCCUUAGGGUUGUAAAGCUCUUUCACCCACGACGAUAAUGACGGUAGUGGGAGAAGAAGCCCCGGCUAACUUCGUGCCAGCAGCCGCGGUAAUACGAAGGGGGCUAGCGUUGUUCGGAAUUACUGGGCGUAAAGCGCGUGUAGGCGGGCUUUUAGGUCAGGGGUGAAAUGCCAAGGCUCAACCUUGGAACUGCCUUUGAUACUGGAAGUCUUGAGUCCGGGAGAGGUGAGUGGAACUGCGAGUGUAGAGGUGAAAUUCGUAGAUAUUCGCAAGAACACCAGUGGCGAAGGCGGCUCACUGGCCCGGAACUGACGCUGAGACGCGAAAGCGUGGGGAGCAAACAGGAUUAGAUACCCUGGUAGUCCACGCUGUAAACGAUGGAUGCUAGCCGUUGGGGGAGCUUGCUCUUCAGUGGCGCAGCUAACGCUUU